GAUGAACGCUGGCGGCGUGCCUAAUACAUGCAAGUCGAGCGAACAGAUGAGGAGCUUGCUCCUCUGACGUUAGCGGCGGACGGGUGAGUAACACGUGGAUAACCUACCUAUAAGACUGGGAUAACUUCGGGAAACCGGAGCUAAUACCGGAUAAUAUAUUGAACCGCAUGGUUCAAUAGUGAAAGACGGUUUUGUUGUCACUUAUAGAUGGAUCCGCGCCGCAUUAGCUAGUUGGUAAGGUAACGGCUUACCAAGGCAACGAUGCGUAGCCGACCUGAGAGGGUGAUCGGCCACACUGGAACUGAGACACGGUCCAGACUCCUACGGGAGGCAGCAGUAGGGAAUCUUCCGCAAUGGGCGAAAGCCUGACGGAGCAACGCCGCGUGAGUGAUGAAGGUCUUCGGAUCGUAAAACUCUGUUAUUAGGGAAGAACAAAUGUGUAAGUAACUAUGCACGUCUUGACGGUACCUAAUCAGAAAGCCACGGCUAACUACGUG
rnacentral:rRNA from 1 species